AGAAUGUAUACAACACGUUGCAGCUACUGUUGGCGUGACUGCGGCUCGAGAAAUCAAUCCAGUUGUUAGUAGGGUGAGUUUUUUUUUGUGAAUUAAAAAAACAAAAGAAAAUAAAAUAAAAAACUUGCCAUUUUCUGGGCAUGGCUAAUGGUAAAAAUUUACAAAACAUUUUCUCAUUAAUUUGAUAUUAAGUGUUACCAAAAAUGCAUGACCAGCUUUGCAAAAUGUUAAAAAAAAAGGACCCGUGAAAUGUCGGCCGCGCUACGAUAUCUUCAAGAAUUAUUUCAAAUUAACAAGCUGUCCAAAUUAAUGACUAAAAAAUUAUAGCAACCGACAUCUCACAGGUUGUUAGAGAAAGGUUACAUGGUGCAUCGACCGGAAAUAUCUGACUCAACUUUGACUACUUAUAUCUCUGCUGGUUUUGGUUUUUUUUUGAAAAAGUGUCAAUUGACAAAAUAUUUAUCGUUUUUUCUACUACAACUUUGCAUUUUAACACUUUUUGAUAGCAGCAGACUUAGGCUUAGGCUUGACUUAGGCUUAGGCUCAGGCUCAUGCUUAGUUUUAGGCUAAGGCUUAGUUUUAGGCUUAGGCUUAGGCCUACUCUUAGGCCUAGUUUUAGGCCCAAAGGAUAACCUCCCGGAAAUACCGAAAAAUCCAAAAAAAAAGUUCUAACCAACCUCUUCAGUCUCCUCAACUUCCACUUCCUGGGGUUUUAAAAAUUGCGAAAAAACAAUUAAAUCCCAAAAUUGUUUAUUCACAUUUUUCACAACAAAUGCGCCUUUCUGAUUACACUGAGGACAUUUUUUAUCUCUAAUUUUCUCACGACAACUGUCACAUAACGUAUGACCGCAUGUGCCGAUGCAAGGGAUUCGGAUGGCGUUGUCUGUAAAAACAUCCAUUUUUGGAGCGUGUCCUAUAUUUUGUAAGUAGAGAUUUUUGAAAACUGACAGGAUUGUCGCAUGUUUCGACCCCUACAAUUUUUCAAUACAAAUAAUUAAAACAAAAUUGAAGUAUAAAAAAUGUAGGAAAACAAAUUUUUUUUUUGGUCGACUUCCAAAAUUAUGAGUGGCAAAAACUGAGUGGUUGUCACUUUUUGACAGUAAAUAAAAAAGUUUCUAAAAACUUUUGAAAAGUUUUAUUAUGAUAUUCGGUACUUUUCGGAUUAAAGGAGUGGAUCUUAACAAUCUUCCCACUGGCGCUACUUCACCUCUAAUGAUUUAAAAAUGAGUUUUUUGUAAAAUUUGAAAAAUCAUUAAAAUAAUUUUUUUAAAACAUAAUUUUCAGUAAUUACACCCAACUCUCUAAAUUUCCAAAAAAAAUGAAAACUUUCAGAAAAAUUUCCAACAAUAUUCACCAUAUUCCUCAUAGCAAAUUCCACACUCUGCAACUUUACUCAUUAAAAAAAAAACAACUAAAUGUAUUUAUUGAAGAGAAUUUCAAAAAGUCAAAUUCAUCAUUUAUAUAUUAUAUACUAAUGUAAGGUGAGAAAUUGUCUAAGGAACCAUAGGAAUGUUUCCUUCCUCAUCGCAAUUUCUCAUUUCAUGAGUUUACUACUUUCCUGCAAAAAGAUAACAUGUAUCUUAGGAACUAAUUUUUAUUUCAAUUUAUUUAUUCGAAUCGCAGAAAUUUCCGGCAAUUUUGGCUAUUGCCGAUAUUACAGAAACUAAAUUUGCAAAAGUUAUCAGUUAUCGGUAAUUCUAAGCCUAAGCUUAAACCUAAAACUAAGCCUAAGCUUAAGCCUAAUCCUGAGCCUAAGCCUAAACCUAGUAAAUAAUUUUACCUCUAGUUUCACUAUGUAUCAUUUCAAUUCAAUAACAUGCAAAAAAGUAAAUGGACAAACUCCACUAAAUUCAGAAAACCUUUGCUUCUGGUAAAUACUCUUUAGGCAGCAGGUGAUUUUAAUUGUCUAUAGGUGUUAUAACUCCACAAUAAAUUCUUUUAACAAGUUAUUAUAUAUUUUUAUUUCCAGCUCCCACUAUGAAUGUUGACUUUAAAGACCCUGUAUGGCUAAUCAAUAGUUACAAUUUUGUUGGUAUUUUUUCUAUAUCAAUAAAUACGGCGACUAUUUUUUUUGAUUAUUUUCAAAAGCGAGAAGAUGGAGAGUAUGAAGUAUCAUAUUCUGGCGUUUCAGGUGAUCUCCUUUAAAUGUGGAGUAUCGAAAUCUGGAAAAUAUUUUUAAUUGACUCCAAAUUUUCCGCUGAUUCCGAAUCUCGAUGUGAAAAAAAUCAAAAAUUCAAAAAAAUCUGAUAGAUUUGGAUUCUAGAUUUUUUAAAAAUAUUAUAGAUGAGUUUUUGGGACAGGAAAGUAAAUUUAAGCCGCGCUAGAGAGGUUUUUGUGUCGAGUUCCAAUUUUCACAGGUAUAUGUAGGCGCAAAAAAACAAAAAUAAAAAUUAUGGAAUUCCGGAAGAAUUGAAGUAAAUUUAAGCCGCGCUAGAGAGGUUUUUGUGUCGAGUUCCAAUUUUCACAGGUAUAUGUAGGCGCAAAAAAACAAAAAUAAAAAUUAUGGAAUUCCGGAAGAAUUGAAGUAAAUUUAAGCCGCGCUAGAGAGGUUUUUGUGUCGAGUUCCAAUUUUCACAGGUAUAUGUAGGCGCAAAAAAACAAAAAUAAAAAUUAUGGAAUUCCAGAAGAAUUGAACUCAUCCCACCCCUCCCACUCCCACUCCCCAGUCGAAGCAGUUACCGACUGAUCCAGGGAGGAUGAGGGAAGCCUAGCUCCUCGGUGUGUGUGACUUUUCCGACCUAGAUUUACAAAUUAAAAUCAAAACGGUUCACGGAAAAAAGUAAUGACUGUUGAAAAACUGCUUAUUUUAUUGCAUUUGUUCAAUUUAUUAAAUUUUCCAAUUUCCCGGUUGCCAAAAAAUCAAUAAAAUUCAAUUUUCAGAAAACCAAUAAAAUUAUAUUUCUCAUCAAAAUUCAAAUUUCUAUGACGUCGCCAGAAUUAAAUUUCUAGGUCACCGGUGACGUCUUCAGGCAUAGUUUAAGUUUUCUAGGCCACCAGUGGCGUCAUUUAUUUCCCCAGGUAUAAUUUGAAACUUCUAGGCCACCGGUCACAUCAUUAAUUUGUCUUCCACGGUCAAAAUAUUUCUCUUCCAGAACUAAAAUAAGAUUUCUAGUCCACCAAUGACGUCAUAUCUUCUCCAAAAAAGCUAUCAAGGUUUCCUAGACCAUUAGUGACGUAAUAAGUAGGCAAUGAUAUUUCUAGGCCACGGCCCCCCCCCCCCCCCUCUGAUCAAAAAACAAAGUUAUGAGUCAACUUAACUUAUUAGAAUGCUGACUCACCCAGUCAACACCAAUCUAAUCUUUCCCUGUCUCCUCCCUACCACUGCCUGCGCCUCUCCGUCUCGCGCGCUCUCUCUCCCACUCCGCUCACCGCCUGCGUCUCCGUUUCUCUCCCGGUCAUUCCUCAUUCACUCAAUCUUGCAAAAUUUCGGUUGUAACGAAUUUCGAGUUAGAUUUUUUCUAAAAAUAAUCAAAAAUUCCGUCGAAAAAUCAACUUGCGGCGAUGCUCAACGUGGAGCCCUCAUUUGCAGAGGAGCUGCGGAGCAGCGGGGUUUCUCUGUCGGCUACUGUGAGUUUUUUAUUAGUUUUUUCCCCGAAAAUAUAAAAUUGUCUUUCAGUACCUCGGAAGUGUUCCAGUAGUCGAGUCAAUUAACGUGAUGGUUUCCGAGAUGAGAGUUCAAGUUGUUUCG
rnacentral:sRNA from 1 species